rnacentral:lncRNA from 1 species
AGGGGUGGCACCGGGCUAAGGCUAUAGAGGCCAAGCAACAAGCUACUAUGAUAUCGUGUGAGCCAUUAACUCACAUAUCAAACAUUAAACCUAAUCUCACUUAACCAGUUGCUGGCCUCAGAUAUAUUUCAUGCAAUUGUACUAGCAGAAACGUAUAUUAUUCAGCACAAAUGCAACAAAGGAUGACAUAAAAUAAAGAAAGUUUCUGAUGGAAGAGAUGGCUCAAGAGAUUCUUAUAUAUAGUCGAAUAAAAACCAACUAUUUCAUUUUCUUCCGAUCUAAGAUUCAUCAAGUCAUGUACCAAAGAAAAUAUAUAUACCCUUCCUAUAUUAUUGGAAAAUCGCCACAUUGGAUAGUUAAUUUAUAC